AUCCUGGGGGUGCUGAAGAGCACAGCAGGGAAGGGGCAGGCGCUCUCAAACAGGGGCUGCAGCUCACCAAACCUCCCGAGGCUUCGUGGCAACACUGGUGUUUGGCUGGUUCUGCCCCAUUGUGCCAUCAGCACAGAGAAAGCAAAGGGUCUAUGUCAUAGAUAAUAAUCGGUUCCUGACCACACCUAGUCCAUUAGCAUCCUUGGGCAGCCUGUAAAUGCAACCUCACUCCUCCUGCUCUCUGGAUUAGCAGAUCAGAAGGGAUCAAAAUACAUCACAAACCUCUCAGAAGCCAGACACUGAGGGGAGAGCACACAGCAACAGCAGCGGAGGAGAACAAACUUUCAGCGGUGGAUUCAACCAUCUCUCUGGAGACCAGGAGGCGCCGGCGGGGAAGCAGAGGGCACGGCAGACGCCCAGCCCGGCCUGCAGGAACCAUGCAGGAGCCCUUUGCUGUUCACUUCCUCAAGGUGCUGAAGGAGCUCCUGGCCUUCGUGCUGUUCAGCUACACGGUGCUGAUCGGGGCACUGCUGCUGGCCGGCUGGACCACGUAUUUCCUGGUGCUCAAGUGAGAGUCUCUUCUGUCCCCCGAGCCACGGACGAGCCCCAGCAUGGGCAAGCAGCACCCCAUGAGCCCUGCUCCUGGUGCCGCCACCACGCUCCACAGCGAGCCUUGGUGCUGGUCCGCGCCGAGCGCAGCCACGUCUCCUGCUGUAAGACACAAAGAUUAAAAUCAUCUCCCCCUUUGCUGCCCUCCA